AGUGGCAGACGGGUGAGUAACGCGUGGGAACGUACCUUUCGCUACGGAAUAGCUCCGGGAAACUGGUGGUAAUACCGUAUACGCCCUCAGGGGGAAAGAUUUAUCGGCGAAAGAUCGGCCCGCGUUGGAUUAGCUAGUUGGUGAGGUAAUGGCUCACAAAGGCGACGAUCCAUAGCUGGUCUGAGAGGAUGAUCAGCCACACUGGGACUGAGACACGGCCCAGACUCCUACGGGAGGCAGCAGUGGGGAAUCUUGCACAAUGGGCGAAAGCCUGAUGCAGCCAUGCCGCGUGAAUGAUGAAGGCCUUAGGGUUGUAAAAUUCUUUCGUCAGGGAUGAUAAUGACCGUACCUGAAGAAGAAGCCCCGGCUAACUUCGUGCCAGCAGCCGCGGUAAUACGAAGGGGGCUAGCGUUGUUCGGAACUACUGGGCGUAAAGCGCACGUAGGCGGACUUUUAAGUCAGGUGUGAAAUCCCGGGGCUCAACCUCGGAACUGCAUUUGAAACUGGAAGUCUUGAGACCAGGAGAGGUUAGCGGAAUACCGAGUGUAGAGGUGAAAUUCGUAGAUAUUCGGUGGAACACCAGUGGCGAAGGCGGCUAACUGGACUGGUACUGACGCUGAGGUGCGAAAGUGUGGGGAGCAAACAGGAUUAGAUACCCUGGUAGUCCACACCGUAAACGAUGAGAGCUAGUUGUUGGCA
rnacentral:rRNA from 1 species